UCACUGAUAGCUCAGUUGGUAAAGAAUCUGCCUGCAAUGCAGGACACCCUGGUUCAAUUCCUGGGUCAGGAA
rnacentral:tRNA from 1 species